CGCGGCCCCGGCGGCGCAGUCUCGCGGGAUCGCUCAGCUCUCGCUCCCCGUGCGGCUCCCGGGCGGCUGCAGUCGCCGCCGACACCCCGGGCCGCCUCCGGUCGCGGCUGGACGGCGGGCUGCACGGGGACGGGGGGAGAGCCGCCGGGGAGCGUGGCCCGAGUAAUUGACUCGGAACUCAUUUCCAGGAGAGGAGCUGCUUUCAACAUGGCCAAAUAACGCAGUGAGGCAUUUGAACGCUUUAUCUUCGGACGGAAAUCGGAGCGUGAGAAGAGCGAUGAGCCCACGCCAGGCGGUGGAAGCGGGGAUCUGAAGAGGAUGGGAAAGUGUACGAUGCUGUGGCUGUGCGUUCUCCUGCCCCUCGCGAGGGGGCACAGCCUCUUCACCUGUGAGCCAGUGACGGUGCCCAGGUGCACGAAGAUGGCCUACAACAUGACGUUUUUCCCCAAUCUGAUGGGCCAUUACGAUCAGAGCACUGCUGCUGUGAAAAUGGAGCACUUUCUUCCUCUUGCAAAUCUGAACUGUUCACCAAAUGUUGAAACUUUCCUUUGCAAAGCUUUUGUACCAACCUGCACAGACCAAAUUCAUGUGGAUCCACCUUGUCGUAAAUUUUGUGAAAAAGUAUAUUCUGAUUGCAAAAACUUAAUUGACACUUUCGGGAUCCAGUGGCCUGAGGAACUUAAAUGUGACAGAUUACAGUAUUGUGAUGAGACUUUUCCUGUAACACUUGAUCCACACACAGAGAUUCUUGGUCGUCAGAAGAAAACAGAACAAGUCCAAAGAGACAUUGGAAUAUGGUGUCCAAGGCAUCUUAAGACUUCUGGGGGACAAGGCUAUAAAUUCCUAGGAAUUGACCAGUGUGCACCUCCGUGCCCCAACAUGUAUUUUAAAAGCGAAGAGCUAGAGUUUGCAAAAAGCUUUAUCGGAAUAGUUUCAAUAUUUUGUCUGUGUGCAACUCUGUUCACAUUCCUUACUUUUUUAAUUGAUGUUAAAAGAUUCAGAUACCCAGAGAGACCAAUUAUAUAUUACUCUGUCUGUUACAGCAUUGUGUCUCUUAUGUAUUUUAUUGGAUUCUUGCUAGGCAAUAGCACAGCCUGCAAUAAAGCAGAUGAGAAGCUAGAAGUUGGUGAGACGGUAGUUCUAGGCUCUCAAAAUAAGGCUUGCACCAUUGUGUUUAUGUUUUUGUAUUUUUUCACAAUGGCCGGCACUGUGUGGUGGGUGAUUCUUACCAUUACUUGGUUCUUAGCUGCAGGAAGAAAAUGGAGUUGUGAAGCCAUUGAACAAAAAGCAGUGUGGUUUCAUGCUGUUGCCUGGGGAACACCAGGUUUUCUGACUGUUAUGCUUCUUGCAAUGAAUAAGGUUGAGGGAGACAACAUUAGUGGAGUUUGCUUUGUUGGCCUUUAUGACUUGGAUGCUUCUCGCUACUUUGUACUCUUGCCACUGUGCCUUUGUGUGUUUGUCGGGCUGUCUCUUCUUUUAGCUGGGAUCAUUUCCUUAAAUCACGUUCGACAAGUGAUACAGCAUGAUGGCCGUAACCAAGAAAAACUAAAGAAAUUUAUGAUUCGAAUUGGAGUCUUCAGUGGCCUGUACCUUGUGCCAUUAGUGACACUUCUUGGAUGUUACGUCUAUGAGCAAGUGAACAGGAUCACCUGGGAGAUAACUUGGGUCUCUGACCAUUGUCGUCAGUACCAUAUCCCAUGUCCUUAUCAGGCAAAAGCAGAAACUCGACCAGAAUUGGCUUUAUUUAUGAUAAAAUACCUGAUGACUUUAAUUGUUGGCAUCUCUGCCGUCUUCUGGGUUGGAAGCAAAAAGACAUGCACAGAAUGGGCUGGGUUUUUUAAACGUAAUCGCAAGAGAGAUCCGAUCAGUGAAAGUCGAAGAGUACUGCAGGAGUCAUGUGAGUUUUUCUUAAAGCACAAUUCUAAAGUUAAACACAAAAAGCACUACAAACCAAGUUCACAUAAGCUGAAGGUCAUCUCCAAAUCCAUGGGAACCAGCACAGGAACUUCAGCAAAUCAUGGCACUUCUGCAGUAGCCAUCGCUAACCAUGAUUACUUAGGACAAGAAACUUUGACAGAAAUUCAAACCUCUCCAGAAACAUCAGUGAGGGAAGUGAGAGAAGACGGAGUGAACACCCCCAAACCAAGAGAACAGGACUGUGGGGAGCCUGCCUCCCCAGCAGUAUCCAGCUCCAAACUCUGUGGGGAACAGGCUGGCAGGAAAGGCCGGGCAGGCAACGGGAAUGACAAGAGCAGUGUCUCUGAAAGUGCACAGAGCGAAGGAAGGGUGGCUCCAAAAACUGAUGUUACUGAAACUGGCCUGGCGCAGAGCAACAGCUUGCAGGUUCCCUGUCCUUCAGAGCCAAGCAGCCUGAAAGGCUCCACAUCACUGCUCAGCCACUCGGCUUCCGGAGUUAGAAAAGAGCAGGGCGCUGGCAGUCACUCAGAUACUUGAAAACCAAGUUCUCCCACCACUUAGAGGCCUUCUAAGAUGUGGUGCCCGGACCAGCAGCCCCAGAGCAUGUGAGAAAUGCAGAUGCCCAGGCCCCUCCCCGGACCUAUUGACUGAGAGGGUCUGCAGGAGGGGCCAGCAAGCAGGGUUUGAGAUGCCCUUCAGGUGAUGCUCAUGCUCACAGAAGCCAUCCCUCAUCAUUUCUCCAAGGGGAGCGAAACACAUGGCCAUCCCGAGUCCUCUGAAUGCAAGUCUGUCUCAAGCGGUCGCGGCUUCAGCUCUGGGUUGUGGACCUGUCAGUCUGCUUCGGCUGCCAUAACAAAACCACAGGCUGGUGGCUCACACAGCAGAAAUUCAUUUUCCCACCAUACUCAAGGAGAGACGUCUGAGAUCAAGGUGUCGGCAGGCCAUCCUUUGUGCCUUGGAAGAGACAUGCAGACUGCAAAAAGCCAUCUGAACUGCCCAGAAAUGUCUUUAAUCUUGACCAUUUUCAUAACAGAUCGCCAUGGUGAACAAUUUUCUGAGGACUUCUUACAAUGCAGAGUCUGUUCAGAGAAUGCCGAUUGCAAAACCUCUGUACACAGGGCAUAAUGAAGGGGGAAAGACAGUGCCCAGUAUUGGGUAACUUAAGAAAAAGGACGAAAAUUCUAGAGGAAAUGAAAGACUACCCAAGUAGCAAGCAUGUAGCUGCAACGAUUCAGAAGAAAGGAAGUGCACUAGUAACUCUUCCAGGUCUAACACAGACCAGUGCUUAUCCUCAAGCACUGCGAAGGGCCAGCUUCUAGUUGUAUAAGCACAACGCUAAAGGGAUGCAUGUAAAAUGCACUUACCGUGAUCGCAUCGAGGGACUUCCACUCGUCUUUCAUGAAUGAUAUUUAGGUUCUAUAAUUUCCCAUCCACUGUUCUUUUCCUUAGAACUAUAAAAAUCCCACUCACUCAUGAGAUGGCAAGUGUGCUGUAUACUGACUGUUUAUUCGUGCAGGAUGUGGAUGGAGUAACCAUUUAGUACUGCUGUGAACAGGCUGCUGAGUUAGGCAUUUAGGAAUGCAGAUGAAACCACUGCACUGUUGGAUUCUAGAGCUGACUAUGUGUGAACAGGAGCCAAUAGAGGGAGAAAUUCAGGCCCCCCCAUAGCAGGACUCAUCAGUACCUUUUGCCCUCAGAUCCAUUGUUUGGGCUUCUGCUGCUCUGCUCUGCAUCACAGGAGGCUGACUCACCUCCACAGGCUGUCCCCAGGCUUUUGUUCAGGUGCCUCUAGCUGCCUUUGGAGAUUGGAGGGUGGGAAGAGGGGAGAAGAAGCCGGGGUAUUCCUCAUCUUCCUUCUCUGGCAGAGGCUUCAUCUCUUUUCAUGGCUCCAGCUUCCAUUGGAUAAGCUCAACAUGAUUCCCGCUUUGACGGGUCACCUUGUCUCUCUCUGGCUUAAAGAAGGUAGCAGCUUACAGCUAUGGGCAAUAUUGGGCUGCUUCAUUGUCCCCUACUGAGCUAGCCUUUGAAGUCAAUAUCCUACAUCAAAUUCCUUCUGUUGGAAAUACUCAGACUGGUUUCUGUCUCCUAAUCAGAACUUGAAUGAUACAGCUGAUGUAGAGGUUAAUUGUCAUCUAUUAAAUCAUGGCUUCCUUUAACUUUAUAUAGAAGCCCCUACUUUUAUUAUCCUAUAUGAUAAAAGGCUAAUAUGCAAAUUGUCCCCUCGGGAGUUCGACCGGGAGACCAGGAGUUUGAUCGCUCGCUAUGGCAUAUGCUGACC